CUUGUCUUCCAUUAGUAUCCUCUUCUCAGAUCAACCAAAAAAAAAAAAAGAAAAGAAAAGAAAAGAAAAAAACCGUCUGUCUUCUCCAGUCGCCAUUCUUUGUCUAACUAGAGCUCCCAGUCGUCUAUUUCCAUCUCGCAGCUCCAACAACAUCAGCGUAGGAAGAGUCCCAGACUGUUUGUAGCAACGGCGGCGGCGACUUCCCACCAGUUCUCCCUCCGCCAUCCAGGAAGUUAGCAUGGAGAUGAUCUAUGUUUAUAGCCUUCAUUAUAGUGUGGGGGACAGUACCAUUUUAUUGUUAGACUCUUCAGUGCAACACAUUCCAUUGCAGGAGGUGUAUAUAUGUGGAUGUGGACUGUGACGUAAGGUUGUGUUCAGAAUCGUGUAUGAUGGUUCCGUUAUUUGUAGGCCAUGGACCAUUUAUGUUAUUUACUGGCCAUGUGCCAUUCUUGUAAGGGUUACACCCUUGUGUAUGAUGUAAGUCUCAUGGCGUUCAAUCUAGUCUAUAACAUCUAUGUAUGUUUUUAGUUACAGAACAUUCAUUCGACUUAGAAGUUGUAUCUAGGAAUAUAUAAAAUCAGAUAAACAUAUGUAUUGUGUGACUAUAUUAUAGUCAUCUGCAUGAGAGUUGUUAUCUAUUGCUCAUCGUUGGUGGUUUAUUCACGUGAGCCGAACCGUGUAAAUCCGGGGCGUGAUAAACGUAUCCAUUUUAUUUCUUGCUUGGAUUUUUGAAAUUUGAACUUAGUGCUCUGAUACUUCACCUGACUGUCAGAGCCGCGUCUUUUUUUCCCCCCUUUCAACUUGUAAAAGAAGUUCAUAUACACUAUCAAAAAGAAUUAGAUGGAUAAUUUUUGUCUUGUAGCUUUUUUUUUUCUUCUACAUAACUGUGUAAGUACUAGAAAGGGUAGUUUCACUUGAGUUGUUGCUUGCUGUGAUUUUGCAGGUAUCAAUUCAUAUGUGUUAGUUCUUGACAAUGAUUUGUAUCCCAGUAAUUGCUACUCUUGAAUGGGGGUAGCACAAUGCUAUUCUUUGCAAGAAGCAGUUGUUGUUGAUCAACUAUUUCAAAGUUCUGAACAUUCUUCAGAUGAUUUUCUUUGGCUUGCUCAAUCAAUUUUUUCAUCUUUGAAGAGUCAUAAGGAACAUUGUAAUUACUUCAAAUAAGCAGAUGAGGAUGAUGAUGACACUAGCUCCACAAUCCGUUCCAAUGUUGGACCUCGGAAAGCUAUAAGAACAGAAGAAUUAAACGAUCUAAGGACAAGGCUUUGAGAGAUGGAUAGUGAAAUUCAUAAGCAUGGCAGAAGGCUUCAAAGGAUGGAGAAGAACUUCAAGGCAAUGAUUUAUGUCAUUGUUUUUUGUCUUUUGGCACUUUAUCAUGUAAAUGACUGUCUUUUGUAUCUUUUUGUACUUUAUGAUGUUUUGUGUUGAAUGUAAUCAAAUACUGUAUGUUUUAUGUUGUCUAUGUAGAUGAGUUCGGAUUGUGAGCUUUCA